rnacentral:rRNA from 1 species
CCUACGGGGGGCAGCAGUGGGGAAUAUUGGACAAUGGGGGCAACCCUGAUCCAGCCAUGCCGCGUGUGUGAAGAAGGCCCUCGGGCUGUAAAGCACUUUCAGUGAGGAAGAACGCCUGGUGGUUAAUACCCAUCAGGAAAGACAUCACUCACAGAAGAAGCACCGGCUAACUCCGUGCCAGCAGCCGCGGUAAUACGGAGGGUGCGAGCGUUAAUCGGAAUUACUGGGCGUAAAGCGCGCGUAGGUGGCUUGAUAAGCCGGUUGUGAAAGCCCCGGGCUCAACCUGGGAACGGCAUCCGGAACUGUCAAGCUAGAGUGCAGGAGAGGAAGGUAGAAUUCCCGGUGUAGCGGUGAAAUGCGUAGAGAUCGGGAGGAAUACCAGUGGCGAAGGCGGCCUUCUGGACUGACACUGACACUGAGGUGCGAAAGCGUGGGUAGCAAACAGGAUUAGAUACCCCAGUAGUC